rnacentral:rRNA from 1 species
AAUAUUGGACAAUGGGCGAAAGCCUGAUCCAGCCAUGCCGCGUGUGUGAAGAAGGUCUUCGGAUUGUCAAGCACUUUUAGUUGGGAGGAAGGUCAGUAAGUUAAUACCCUGCUGUUUUGACGUUACCGACAGAAUAAGCACCUGGUAACUUCGUUCUAGCAACCGCGGUAAUACGAAGGGUGCAAGCGUUAAUCGGAAUUACUGGGCGUAAAGCGCGCGUAGGUGGUUUGUUAAGUUGGAUGUGAAAGCCCCGGGCUCAACCUGGGAACUGCUUUCAAAACUGGCAAGCUAGAGUAUGGCAGAGGGUGGUGGAAUUUCCUGUGUAGCGGUGAAAUGCGUAGAUAUAGGAAGGAACACCAGUGGCGAAGGCGACCACCUGGGCUAAUACUGACACUGAGGUGCGAAAGCGUGGGGAGCAAACAG